rnacentral:ncRNA from 1 species
AAUUGUAAAUAGCAAACUCAUCGAAAGGUGGAGACGCAAAGCUACGAGUCUAAAGCAGUUUACUGCCAUGACAGUCGGGUUGCCAAU